GUCUGGCUGGCUCAGUCAGUGGAGCACGUGACUCUUGAUCUUGGGACUGUGGGUUAGAGCCCCAUGUUAAGUG
rnacentral:tRNA from 1 species